ACCGGAUAGAUCACAACGCCUGGAACGGUGUGUGGUUCAAAGGUCACGGCAUAGGAUGGGUCUGCGGCGUAUCAGGUCGUAGGGGGUGUAACGGACCUCCUAGCCAUCGACGCGUACGGGUGUUGGGAGACAUAGCCCGGAGAUGGAUUCUGAGACACGAAUCCAGACCCUACGGGGUGCAGCAGGCGCGAAAACUUCACACUGCAGGAAACUGUGAUGAGGGAACUCCAAGUGCGCGCACUUAGUGUGCGCUUUUCUUGACUAUUAAUCGGUCAUGGAAUAAGGGCUGGGAAAGACCGGUGCCAGCCGCCGCGGUAAUACCGGCAGCUCAAGUGGUCGUCGCUUUUAUUGGGCCUAAAACGUCCGUAGCCUGUUUGGUAAAUCUGUGGGUAAAUCAACCAGCUUAACUGGUUGAAUUCUGCAGAGACUGCCAGACUAGGGACCGGGAGAGGUGUGGGGUACUCUAGGGGUAGGGGUAAAAUCCUGUCAUCCUUAGAGGACCACCAGUUGCGAAGGCGCCACACUGGAACGGAUCCGACGGUCAGGGACGAAGCCUAGGGGCACGAACCGGAUUAGAUACCCGGGUAGUCCUAGGUGUAAACGCUGUGAACUUGGUGUCGGGAGUCCGCAAUGGGCCCCCGGUGCCGGAGUGAAGAUGUUAAGUUCACUGCCUGGGGAGUACGGUCGCAAGGCUGAAACUUAAAGGAAUUGGCGGGGGAGCACUGCAACGGGAGGAGCGUGCGGUUUAAUUGGACUCAACGCCGGGA
rnacentral:rRNA from 1 species